rnacentral:rRNA from 1 species
GACGAACGCUGGCGGCGUGCUUAACACAUGCAAGUCGAACGGAAAGGCCCUGCUUUUGUGGGGUGCUCGAGUGGCGAACGGGUGAGUAACACGUGAGUAACCUGCCCUUGACUUUGGGAUAACUUCAGGAAACUGGGGCUAAUACCGGAUAGGAGCUCCUGCUGCAUGGUGGGGGUUGGAAAGUUUCGGCGGUUGGGGUUGGACUCGCGGCUUAUCAGCUUGUUGGUGGGGUAGUGGCUUACCAAGGCUUUGACGGGUAGCCGGCCUGAGAGGGUGACCGGCCCCAUUGGGACUGAGAUACGGCGCAGACUCCUACGGGAGGCAGCAGUGGGGAAUAUUGCACAAUGGGCGGAAGCCUGAUGCAGCAACGCCGCGUGCGGGAUGACGGCCUUCGGGUUGUAAACCGCUUUCGCCUGUGACGAAGCGUGAGUGACGGUAAUGGGUAAAGAAGCACCGGCUAACUACGUG